rnacentral:lncRNA from 1 species
UUCCUUUUUAAAUUGUUUUAUUUGGGGCCAGGUGUGGUGGCUCACACCUGUAAUCUCAGUAUUUUAGAAGGCCAAGGUGGGCAGAUUGCUUGAGUCCAGGAGUUGGAGACCAGCCUGGGCAACAUAGUGAGACCCCAUCUCUACCAAAUAUCAGCCAGGUGCGGCGGCGCGCACCUGUAUUCCCAGCUAUGUGGGAGACUGAGGUGAGAGGAUCACGUGAGCCCAGGAGGUUGAGGCUGCAGCAAGCCAUGAUCAUACCACUGCACUCCAGCCUGGGCAAGAGAGUGACACCCUGUCUCAAAAAAAAAAAAAAGUAGAAAAAUUUAUUUUAAAAAAUUGUUUUAACAUUUGAGUGCUGCAACUGUCCAAGGAGGAGCAGACGGCCCGUGUCAGACAGCCUGAAGCCUGACUGUCUGCGAUCAACGGCCCCGUGGCCAGCUGUGUGCAGCAGUUUGGCCUGGCCUGAUGCCUCUGUCCUUGGCACCAGCUCACAGCCCGUGCCCAUAACAGACCUGGGGCACCGAAGGAAGGGCAGAUCCAGCCCCCACCUGCCCUGGGUCUGAAGAUCUCCCAGGAGGCUCCAUGGGGUGCCUUGAGUGGGAGGGGCUGGCCGAUAGCCUUGAGGAAUUGGCACGGACAUGCAGAGAGGGGCAUGUCCCAAACUCGGGGCGCUGUGGCCUCCAGCUGCCAGGAGGUAGAUGUGUUCUGACUUCUGGGUUCCCACCACCAGAACUGCAGGGGAUAUGAAGCAAGCUGGACUUGGGGAGACAUCUCUGCUCGAGUGCACGUUGGCCUGAUGACGACUGCUCUUGGGUUCACGGGUUCCAGGCUCUGCCCGGGAGCCUCAUGCAAACUGGUCCCGUUCUACAGACGAGGAAACUGAGGCACAGAGUGAUUACGGCUGUCCCUGAGCUCCUGCAGCCAGUAAGUGUCUCUGAGGAUGAACUGCCAUGUGCCCGGCGGGGAUGCCGUCCCUGGCCCUUGCUGAGUGCCUCUGGGACGAGGUCAGCUGAGCCUGCCAUCCUAACUCAGACACCAUCUCACUCUCCAAGUCCCUUCUCGGUGAGACGGGGGGCCUUGCACCCACCUCCCAGCCCCCACACACCUGAGGGGGUCCCCGUUCCCCUACCCCGUGGCUCCACCACGCCCCACGCAUCCUACCUGAGGGACAGAGGGGACUGUGAGAUGCCCCCCACAGGCUGGUUUUCCUCUUUCACCCAUAACAGGCCCAGCAAAUUCUCACCUCCAGAGGCCAGGUCUGCCCCGCAGGUCUUAGGAAAUACAGCCCUACUUCCAUCCAGCACACCAACCCAAGGAAGUGCCUCGGAGCCCUGGGGCCCGAGGGGGGCCUGGCCUUGGUCUCACGGCGGCAGCUCCACCUGGAGAGGAGUGAACUCAAGCCAGGACGCCCCGUCUCCACAGCGGAAACCGUGUUGCCGGCUGCUCCCUCCUGGGGACUCUGGGCCUGAGGUUCCUGUGGGAGUUGGGGGGAUAGCUGAGUCCUAUGGAGGUGCCCCUCUCCUCCCCGCCCAGUGGAGCUUGGGGUGGGGACAGGCGAAGACAGGGUGAGAAGCACGGGGCAUUCCCCCUCCACACAGCGCUGAGAAAGUAAGGGAGCAUCCAGAAAACGGUGCCCACUUCCGCGUCAGGCGGAUAUCACGGGCACCAGCUCCAGGUGACCCUAGCCCAGCCAGAGAACAAGGACCAGGUUGUGCCGCAAAGCCCGUGUCCGCUCCCUCCCGCCUGGGACCACUGUGGCGAGGGGAAGGGAGCGUGGUGGCCCUCUCCUGACUCCUGAGGCCUGAAGUCCAAGCUCCCGGCCCUCAGGCAGGCCAGGGUCUAGACACCGCUGCCCCAAACACACCCCCCAGUCCCCGCCCGCAGGCUUCCUGCAGGAUCCCCCAGUGCACCUGGGGGCUGAGGAGAGUGAGCAGGGCGCAAAGAAGCUUCGUCGGGAGGGCGGUCCCCACCCGCCUUGGACCCCCGGGGAUAGUGUCCUGGGGCCUGGGCUCAGAUGCACCCUGGGAGGAAUGGUGCGGAGGCUGUUUUUUGCUCCAAGAGGACAUUGCCUCAGCAGAGGGCUGCCGAGCUGGGAGGACCCACAGUGCAAGGCCGCAGAACCCCCUAGGAAGCCUCAGAGCCUUCAGGUUCCGGGCUGAGGCUGUGGGCGUGGACCCUUGUGCAAACCCCACUGGAAGAAAAACCUUACAGCUC